rnacentral:rRNA from 1 species
CAGCCGCCGCGGGAAUACGUAGGGUGCGAGCGUUAAUCGGAAUUACUGGGCGUAAAGCGUGCGCAGGCGGUUCGUUAAGACAGAUGUGAAAUCCCCGGGCUUAGCCUGGGAACUGCAUUUGUGACUGGCGGGCUAGAGUAUGGCAGAGGGGGGGUAGAAUUCCACGUGUAGCAGUGAAAUUCGUAGAUAUUGGGAAGAACACCAGUGGCGAAGGCGGCUCACUGGACCGACACUGACGCUGAGGCGCGAAAGCGUGGGGAGCAAACAGGAUUAGAUACCCCCGUAGUCCCUGUCUCUUAUA